ACGUGCAGGCAUUUGUUCCUUCCUGAAGUUUUCUUUGGACAGACUCGAUGAAGAUCAAAACAAUUCUGGGAAGUUAGCAGCCCGCCCCAGGCUCUUGCAAACUUUGCAUCCCACAAAAGCACUGGGAAGAGUCCCAAUUUGGGUGAGUGUACGUGGCUGGGCUUUUUCUUGCAGAGGCUCUGUAAUCCGCCUCUGCCUGGCAAAAUGUCUGGGACGGCAGCAGAACCUGCUCCUCCUGUAGAGUCCUGCUUCAGCCACUGCCGUGUAACCAAAAUUACGCUUCUGCGGCUUUCAGCCUAGGAAUCCUGCUUUGCUUAGACAGAAACCUCGAGAAGGGGAAGGCUGGAAGACGCCUCUCCUUCCACCCGUCCUUCACCUCACUACCUCUCCACACAAAACUGUAACGCUCUUCGUAUAGUGUUUCAACCGAUCAAGAAGAAUCUGCCCCCCAAACCUCCAACAUAGCUUACGAAAAGUUGUUAACCCAGUCCUACGCUUUUGUUGUGGGUGAUCGUCCUCGGAGCGCGAUGCUGCAGCGCCGAGUCCCCAGCACCGAGCGCUCCAGGGCGACGGUGACCGGCGGUGCUGGCGGAGCGGGGCGUUAGUUCUUCUCUCCUCAGCCCCAAGCGAAUAACGGAGCUCGCUUGUCUCUUUGGGCGCGCUGCUCGUUUCAUCUGCAGGAAUGUCGGACGUUAGGGAUGACCAUCUCGGUUUGCAAGAUGUAGUAAUUUCUCUGUAAGUGCGUGCCUUCUCGUUAGCGGACAAACAGCGUGAUGAUAUUGAAAGCUGUAGAGGGUAUGAGUGAGGGAGACCAAAUGACAAGAAAUGCUAAGUGUUAUUGAAAUCCAGUAAGAUAAAAGGUAUGCAAUAACUGCUGUGCUCUGAAGUGAUGCAAAAAAUAUGAUGUCUUAUUCAGUUUAAAAAAACAAAGACAACACCUGAUAAAAGAACUUUAAAAGGAGCUUCUGAACACCCUUUCUACACUUUUGAACGAGCUUUAAACAGGUCUGGAAUGUAUAGAGCUGGGUUUCCUUCAGCUCUAUACAUAAACAUUUAUCGCUUUUCCAUAGCUACAAACAAAUAAAUACAGACAAUGAAAGGCAUAUGAAAGCUUAAAACUUGUGAAAUUCAAAUACUGUGCAGAAACAUAAAAGAAGCUGAACGGGUAGUAUUUCUUUAGAUGUAUUUAUAUGAGUGUGUUUGCAUGAAGGUAAAGUAUGAGCUGUCAUGAUGAGCAUUAUUUGGAUGAGCCGUACUACAUUUCUGCCCCUUACUUGGAUGAAUUCAGUGAAGGUUUUAGUGCAAAUAUUUGCAUUGAAAUUUACCUUUCCAGGGAUAUUCCUCCAGCUGUUUUUACAGAUAUUGCAAAACAACUAAUUUGCUAGAAUAUUCAUGAAAAGCAAAAAUAAGGAGCGUAAUUAAUGUUUGGGAGUAAUUUCCUUCUGAUCAAUAUACAUGAAAAAGUAUAUAUUUGAACAAAAAUUUAUGCAUUGCACAAAGAUAAAAGCAACACUGAAAUUACAAAGAUUAAGAAAUUAAAAUGAUGCAUGAGGAUUUUCUAAGGAUUUUCCAAUUAUUUGCACUGGUUUAUCUUGUGAUAAAAAUAACAAAAGGAGCCCUCUUUCCAUUGGCUUCCUCUUACCUUUUGAUGAUCUUGCUGUCUGUUAAGACCUUUUCCUCUAAAGAACAGCUUUUUUUUUUUUUUUUUAAUUAUGAGUACAAAAUUGGCAGAUGAUCCUUCAGCUUACAAACACAAAACAUAUUGUGACCGUAGAAAAA